GGGCCUGUAGCUCAAUGGUAGAGCGGUACCCUCUUAAGGUAAUGGUUGAAGGUUCGAGUCCUUCCAGGCUCA
rnacentral:tRNA from 1 species